rnacentral:rRNA from 1 species
UACAGAGGUGGCAAGCGUUGUUCGGAAUUACUGGGCGUAAAGGGCGCGUAGGCGGCUUGGUCAGUCCCGUGUGAAAUCCCUCGGCUCAACUGAGGAACUGCACGGGAAACUGCCUGGCUUGAGUUCGGGAGAGGGAAGCGGAAUUCCGGGUGUAGCGGUGAAAUGCGUAGAGAUCGGGAGGAAGGCCGGUGGCGAAGGCGGCGCUCUGGAACGUACCUGACGCUGAGACACGAAAGCGUGGGGAGCAAACAGG